UACAGAGGUCCCGAGCGUUGUUCGGAUUCACUGGGCGUAAAGGGUGCGUAGGUGGUGAGGUAAGUCGGAUGUGAAAUCUCCGGGCUCAACCCGGAAACUGCAUUGGAAACUACCUUGCUAGAGGUUUUGAGGGGGGACUGGAAUUCUCGGUGUAGCAGUGAAAUGCGUAGAUAUCGAGAGGAACACCGGUGGCGAAGGCGAGUCCCUGGAAAACACCUGACACUGAGGCACGAAAGCUAGGGGAGCAAACAGG
rnacentral:rRNA from 1 species